rnacentral:rRNA from 1 species
CUUUCAACAACGGAUCUCUUGGUUCUGGCAUCGAUGAAGAACGCAGCGAAAUGCGAUAAGUAAUGUGAAUUGCAGAAUUCAGUGAAUCAUCGAAUCUUUGAACGCACAUUGCGCCCCUCGGUAUUCCGGGGGGCAUGCCUGUUCGAGCGUUA